UAGUUACUCACACAUCUACUGGUAUUAGUCAAUACUGAUUUCCUGUGUUACUGUGUUAUAUGACUUGAUGUGCAUGCACAGAAAUAUACGUGUCAAAUGACAGAAAUCUGUGUCCUAGAUGUGGUGAUAUUAUUUAAACAAAACACAUGACAUACAUCAAUGACAUUUUAAAACAUUUUUUUUCAGGCAUUUCUCCAAACGGUAGGAGAAUUUUGAUAGAGAUUCUGCAUAUGAAAGACUACAAUAUAUUAAGGAGCAGUAGCGGAGUUAUCAACCAUUGUAUUCUAGUGUCUGUAGGACAACUACACAAGGACUUUUUCAACAAUAAAAGCUGUCCACACUCAGCAAAAUGACUUGAACAUAAAAAGGCUAAGCAUGUAUAUGCCGAUACUUCAUUCAAGAUGUUCCACUCAAAGGAAAUGCUGCCUUUGCCCAACAAUAAUGAGAGUAUAGCUGAAAGUACUGUAUUACUACACUUGUGUAAGAAUGAGUAAUUUUAGAAACAAAAUGUAGAAUCAGCUUCAAUUUCGAACAAAAAAACUUCGAGAAAGAAUUUUAACACAGAUAAAGUGGCAUGAACAAAGUCGAACCCUUUGUGGCAAUGGAGGAAAUGAGACUGUCGGGAAAGUUUACCAGACAUAAAUUCAUGUCAGGUCAACAAAUCAGCUCCUACUUCUCUCGUUUUCAUCAACUCGAAAAGACAACAGAUGUUGAAGAUUAUGACUCGGAUGUUAAAGAAGAUGGAAAGAAAGCUAUCCGGUCAAAAAGUUCUUUCAAGUCUAAAUUGACAGCAGCCACUAAAGACAAAAUAUGACUACUUCCAUGGCUGACAAUUUAAAGUUAGCAGAAGACUUAAGAAAUAAUUUAUAGCAAAACCGUUUGUUACUUUGUUUUUUCACAAUGGGAGUUUUAGGUCAAGCAAGAGCAGUUAUUUCAUAUUACGUUUAACAGUCAGAUUGUAUAGUGUUUAAACAUGUCUUGCUAGAAAUUAUUGCUAUUCUAAUAUAUCUGGUAUGUAAAAGUUAUAUCAAACAUGACGGAACUGUUUAUUUUGCACAUGUAUGGCACCAAAUGUUAGGUCGUCACAUUCUUUGUCAGUACCAGAAAUGGUAUGCUUGCACAUUGAACUGGCAUUUCCAGUGUUGGCAAAACCCAUCUGAUAUUCCCCAUGCCAGAUGAAUUUCGUGCUGUUAAUGACAACUAGAGAUUCAUGCACAUAUAUCGUUUAUGUAAAAUUCGAAAAAGUCAGAUAUAUUGAUAGUUUCUCUACGUUCCUUGUAGUAUAUUUCUUGAUUCAAAAGAUGUUACUUUAUGGUGAUAACACAACGUUACACUACAAAUGAUAAAGCUAAAAUGGAACUUUAUUAUUGUGCAUCACUGAAAGGUCAUGACAUCACUUCUGCUUACAGACAUCUAUUUCUCGCACUUAACAAACUCUAAGAAAGAGUGCUACAAAGAAAGUAUUUCUAUUUGCUUUAUCUAUUUUUUUAUUUGUAAAAUACUGUGUGCAAUGAAACUAGUCUGCCAGAAUAUAAAACUUUUAUGUAUAAGACAAGCAAGAAAAACCUUCAGUCAUGUGUUUAAAAUUCAGAUAGAAAUAUCCGUCCCUCGGCCACCUGAGCAUGGGUGCAUGGUAUCGAGGAUUGUAGAGUUGCCGCCCAAUGUGAAGGUGCCCUUGGGAUGGAUAUUUCUAUCUGAUUUGUAUAACAAAUGACAUAUAUUAUUAAUACAUCUUGCAGAAUAGUUCCAUUAAGGCGCAAAUGAAAGAGAAAGCGUACAGCAAAUAACUAGCACAGGGUAUGUGUAAAUUAAUCAAGAAAGUUGUGUUUUGUGAUAUUUUGUUUAAAAACAUGUUUUCUAAGUAAAAUAUUUUAUCAAAUUUGAA
rnacentral:lncRNA from 1 species